rnacentral:sRNA from 1 species
GCGUGCCGGGAUACCCACCCGUCAGCGAGUGUCGCCCACGGGUGUGUUUGUG